UACCCGAUCCGGGCCCCUCUGACGCGAGCCAUGCCGGCGUUUGCGUGAUGUCGGAUCUAAACC
rfam:Starkeya novella DSM 506, complete genome.